GAUGGUGCUUGCACUAUCACUUAGCGGCGGACGGGUGAGUAAUGCUUAGGAAUCUGCCUAUUAGUGGGGGACAACAUUUCGAAAGGAAUGCUAAUACCGCAUACGUCCUACGGGAGAAAGCAGGGGAUCUUCGGACCUUGCGCUAAUAGAUGAGCCUAAGUCGGAUUAGCUAGUUGGUGGGGUAAAGGCCUACCAAGGCGACGAUCUGUAGCGGGUCUGAGAGGAUGAUCCGCCACACUGGGACUGAGACACGGCCCAGACUCCUACGGGAGGCAGCAGUGGGGAAUAUUGGACAAUGGGCGGAAGCCUGAUCCAGCCAUGCCGCGUGUGUGAAGAAGGCCUUAUGGUUGUAAAGCACUUUAAGCGAGGAGGAGGCUACUUUAGUUAAUACCUAGAGAUAGUGGACGUUACUCGCAGAAUAAGCACCGGCUAACUCUGUGCCAGCAGCCGCGGUAAUACAGAGGGUGCAAGCGUUAAUCGGAUUUACUGGGCGUAAAGCGCGCGUAGGCGGCUAAAUUAAGUCAAAUGUGAAAUCCCCGAGCUUAACUUGGGAAUUGCAUUCGAUACUGGUUAGCUAGAGUGUGGGAGAGGAUGGUAGAAUUCCAGGUGUAGCGGUGAAAUGCGUAGAGAUCUGGAGGAAUACCGAUGGCGAAGGCAGCCAUCUGGCCUAACACUGACGCUGAGGUGCGAAAGCAUGGGGAGCAAACAGGAUUAGAUACCCUGGUAGUCCAUGCCGUAAACGAUGUCUACUAGCCGUUGGGGCCUUUGAGGCUUUAGUGGCGCAGCUAACGCGAUAAGUAGACCGCCUGGGGAGUACGGUCGCAAGACUAAAACUCAAAUGAAUUGACGGGGGCCCGCACAAGCGGUGGAGCAUGUGGUUUAAUUCGAUGCAACGCGAAGAACCUUACCUGGCCUUGACAUAGUAAGAACUUUCCAGAGAUGGAUUGGUGCCUUCGGGAACUUACAUACAGGUGCUGC
rnacentral:rRNA from 1 species